GGAGCUAUAGCUCAAUGGUAGAGCUCCUGCUCUUUCAUGCAGAAGGUCCCAAGUUCAGUUCCUGGAAUCUCCA